AAAAGUAAUGAAGUAAAAUAUUACUUUUAGUUUCGACCUAAAAUUAGAGAAAUAAUCUCCUUACUUUUA
rnacentral:tRNA from 1 species